rnacentral:lncRNA from 1 species
UCAACAAUAUUAUCAAAACAUCACUAAAUCAUCACUUGAAAUAACCAUAACAUUGUCAAAACAUCAUCUAUUCAAUCAUCACAAAUCUACAUCCCAACACUACCAUCUGGAUCAUUACCAGCAUACAAAAACAUCACAACACUAUAUAUCAUCUGAAACACUACCAGACUGAUCAAGAUUCACUACUACUUAAGACUUUAUCAAACAAUAUCAGCAUACAAAUUUCACUACCACUUAGACUUUAUCAAGAUUCACUAUCAUCUGGAACAAUACCAGCAUACAAAAUUCACUACCACUUAGCUUUUUGGGCAUCAUAUAUUCAAUCACUGGAAACUUCCAACAAAUAGUAUCAUCAAAAUACAUGGUGAAUCAAAUCCACAAUAAUAUCUCAUAAAUCAUUUACAAUAUCUAAUCACCUAAAAUAUCCAAUCACCAACCCAUCCUAGAAAAAUAAUUAAUCCAUAAAAAAAACAUUGUGGUAAAUUCCCAAAAGCCACCAACAUCACCUGAAAAGCAGAUUACAUUAAGAUGAGUACCAAAAAAAUGUAAAUUAACAUAUCGGCCACUUAUAGUUAAUCAAAUUCAUAAGGUGUCAUCACACAGUUCAAUAAUCAAGAAUAAUGAAGAAUUUCACAUGUGUAACAAAAACCUAUAAUUACUAACAAAAAUCAAUGUAACUUCAUUUUUGAACUCUUCCAUUCCUUGUCUGGAACCUUUUGACAGCCUUUUAAUUGCAAUUUCUUGCCUUUCUAUUUAUGUACCAUAGAUCUGCCUAUUAGUUAGUAUAAAAAGAAAAUAUGAUCUAAUUUCAGCAGAAUGCCACAAUAUUACCUUGGACACUGGCCCAAAUCUAAUUUCUCCCAGUUUAUUGUAACUUGAGAAGUUAUCUGUGGCCUUUGCUAUACUGGCAAAAUCAGAUUCCCAUAAUUCCAUAUCUUAUUUUCCUCCAUUAUUAUAAUUUUUCAUAUGAUUCAUCUUUGUUAAUCCUGAAAUUGUAGGAGAAUUCCAUCAUGUAAGCUCAUCAUGUAUUGACUGUUACCUGAUCACAUUUGUUUUAUGUAUGAAUUUUCUUUUGACCAUAUACUUCCCAAAGGUAAUUAGCCUACCAGGUAAACUGGUUGUCUGUUGCUUAAGUCACAACAUGUGAGACUUAAAACUAAAAUUUUGCUUUUGUUUACAAAAGGAAAAAAUAACAUGUAAACUUUUUAUUAGCUAAAAAAGAUGCUAAGUCUUUACACAUGCAUUACCUCUAAGGCAUAUUACCUCAUUAAUCUCAGCACUAGCAGCACCGUAGAGUUGCAUUUUGAACAACCUGCAAUCAGUGCCACACUCUUAAGUCAUUUUACGUGAAGCUGCUGCCCCAAACAAAAGAAUAAAUAAAUCAUUUUGAUACCAUCAAAGAAAGCCGACUAUCACUAGUUCCUCGGAGAAAAAUAUUAGUUUCCAAAAGUUCAGAGUACGACUACCAACUAGUAUUAUUAGCUCAAAGAGGGAAUAUACAAUACUUCUAAAGCGAAAUUUACAAGAGAAUAAAAAUUUUUAAUUGUUUAAGUAACAUUUAAUGUUCAGUCUAGGCAUUUAAUAGUUGUUUCAGUUGGCAUUUAUCUGGAGAAAAGUAAACAAAUAUCUACGUACCUAGAGCUUGCAUAAGUAAGUUCUUAGCAAUUCAUAUAAUAUCUACAAGAAGUAAUUUAUAGGAGAAGCCAACUUAUAGUUACAGCUGUAAUCACUAAGGCUUGAAAAAACCAAAUUAAUAAACUCAUUAACGCUUCAGACAUCAAAUAGAUAGAAGUUAUAAUUAUGUAACCUGGUACCCCCAAAGGAUCUUGUAAGUUGGCUUUAAUUUAACUUUAUCGAACUCCAUACAAGCAUUCUCGAAGAAGUAGUUACUGCCAAAGGAGCAAUUUGGCUUCAGUCAACUUAAAUUGGAAUCAUAAAACUACAACAGUACUAUGAAUGUAUUAUAAUACAAACUAGUAAUAUCUCAAAAAUAACUAAAUAAAUAAAUAAAACCAGCAUUAUCAUAAGUGAUUCAGGACUGACAAUAUAGUAACUAAGCUUAGGAGUUCAUGAGAUCCAUCACUGACACAAGUUGCAAAUCGUAUUAAGUACAUCCCAACAAGAGCUUGUGCCUUUUCUUGUUAAAUGUCUUAAUAAUUUAUAAGAAAACAAAAUUAUCUGCAAAGAAUCAAGCAGUUUAUAAAGAUUAUUGACAUACUACAAAAAUGAAAAAGAAUAGCGUUGAAAAAGGGGCAUUUGUUCCAAACAAACUUGAUUAACUGCUUCUGAAAGGUGAAUAUCCUUACAUCUAUUUGUUUCAAGUGGCUAGAGAAGGUAGAUAAAGAUUGUGACAAGGACUGUUCAUCACCAAUAUAAGCAAGAACUGAAUCAAACCAAGGAACCUUUGCAUAUUCUGAAGAUAAAACGUAAAGGCUUGCAUAUUGAGUAACCCAGUGCAGGUUAUAUAAUAGCAGAAUAAUCACUUAUAUGAAUAGCAAUCAGAUCGAUCAAAAUUGUGACAAGGACUGUUCAUCACCAAUAUCAGCAAGAACAGCGUUUAGAUCACAGAAAAAUCAAAUCAAAUCAAAAGAAUAUAAUAUAAGAAAAAGAGGAAGUAAAGACCUAGCUGAACUUGAGCGUGUUGUUCAUCGGCAAGUAGUAGCAGCAGCAGAUCGAAGAGUAAGGAUGAAGACGAAGAGUAGAAAUUUGUUGUCGGCAAGCAGCGCAGCAGAGGACCAAAUUUUUUGUCGGCAGCGUGAUUUUGUUUUUGUGUGUGAUUUGGAAAUUAGGGUUUGCCAUUUGAAGUCAAAGGAGGGUCUACCACUUACAAUUUUUUUUUUUCAAG